rnacentral:rRNA from 1 species
GGCGGGGAACCAACCACUACGAAAGAGUGGACUAAUAUCGCAUACCGCCCGGUACGGGGGAAAGGGGGGAUCGAAAGACCUCUCACUAUUGGAGCGGCCGAUAUCGGAUUAGCUAGUUGGUGGGGUAAAGGCCUACCAAGGCGACGAUCCGUAGCUGGUUUGAGAGGACGACCAGCCACACUGGGACUGAGACACGGCCCAGACUCCUACGGGAGGCAGCAGUGGGGAAUUUUGGACAAUGGGGAAACCCUGAUCCAGCCAUUCCGCGUGUGCGAUGAAGGCCUUCGGGUUGUAAAGCACUUUUGGCAGGAAAGAAAUCGUGUGGGUUAAUACCCUGCGCGGAUGACGGUACCUGCAGAAUAAGCACCGGCUAACUACGUG